rnacentral:rRNA from 1 species
GACGAACGCUGGCGGCGUGCUUAACACAUGCAAGUCGAGCGAUGAAGCUCCUUCGGGAGUGGAUUAGCGGCGGACGGGUGAGUAACACGUGGGUAACCUGCCUCAUAGAGGGGAAUAGCCUUUCGAAAGGAAGAUUAAUACCGCAUAAGAUUGUAGCUUCGCAUGAAGCAGCAAUUAAAGGAGUAAUCCGCUAUGAGAUGGACCCGCGUCGCAUUAGCUAGUUGGUGAGGUAACGGCUCACCAAGGCGACGAUGCGUAGCCGACCUGAGAGGGUGAUCGGCCACAUUGGGACUGAGACACGGCCCAGACUCCUACGGUAGGCAGAAGUGGGGACUAUUGCACAAUGGGGGAAACCCUGAUGCAGCAACGCCGCGUGAGUGAUGACGGUCUUCGGAUUGUAAAGCUCUGUCUUCAGGGACGAUAAUGACGGUACCUGAGGAGGAAGCCACGGCUAACUACGUGCCAGCCGCCGCGGUAAAAC